UACGGGAGGCAGCAGUGGGGAAUAUUGGACAAUGGGCGAAAGCCUGAUCCAGCCAUGCCGCAUGAGUGAAGAAGGCCUUCGGGUUGUAAAGCUCUUUUAGUGAGAAAGAUAAUGACGGUACUCACAGAAGAAGUCCUGGCUAACUCCGUGCCAGCAGCCGCGGUAAUACGGAGAGGGCUAGCGUUAUUCGGAAUUAUUGGGCGUAAAGAGCGCGUAGGCUGAUUAGUAAGUUAAAAGUGAAAUCCCAAAGCUUAACUUUGGAAUUGCUUUUUAAAACUGCUAGUCUAGAGAUUGAAAGAGGAUAGAGGAAUUCCUAGUGUAGAGGUGAAAUUCGUAAAUAUUAGGAGGAACACCAGUGGCGAAGGCGUCUAUCUGGUUCAAAUCUGACGCUGAGGCGCGAAGGGCGUGGGGAGCAAACGAGGGAUUUAGAUACC
rnacentral:rRNA from 1 species